ACAUAUCAUUAUCCGGCACUGAUACCCGGUAUGCAUUUUGUACCUUAACCAUAUAUUAGUCCUUCGACGCCUUUUCCUUCAUCUGGCAUUGAAAAUUUGGAAGGUAGCUCACAUUACGCUAUACUAUGCAUUUAUGUUUUGGAAUUUCCAAAAUAGUUAUAGUCCAGUUUGACAUUCCAUGUUUGUAUACUAAAUUUUUCAGCGCACUUCCUGUGUGCUCCACGGCCUGCAUAAUUUCAUGGUUGACCAUGUUACUAAAGAUGUAAUUGCUAGCACGUGAAUCUUCCUUGGACUUUGAGAAACUAAUAUAUACUCUAUCAAAGUUUCAGAGAAUAUCAUAUUCGAGCAACCCAGCAUGAAUAGGCAGCACUUGCACAAGGGCUUGACAAGGCCAAGCUGAGUGUUAAACAAGACCAGCGCCAUGUGACAAUCCACACCGGUGAGGAACGUGGGGACGAGUGGGUGCGCAUGCACAGCCUGCCCUCCCAUUCAUUUUGUUAGCAUGUCUUCACAUCGACAUCGGAUUCAGUUCAUGCGAAGAGGGCACAAGAUGCUACAAGCUUCGAUGCUGAGAAUUUCCAUGACUGCGUGUUGUAUUUGCAGGAGUGGCUACUUGAUGUGUAUGUGUGAGUGAUUUAGUAUGUUGUGG